rnacentral:rRNA from 1 species
UGGGGAAUAUUGCACAAUGGGGGAAACCCUGAUGCAGCGACGCCGCGUGAANGAAGAAGUAUUUCGGUAUGUAAAGCUCUAUCAGCAGGGAAGAUAAUGACGGUACCUGUA